rnacentral:rRNA from 1 species
GACAGAGGUGCCGAGCGUUAGGCGGAAUCACUGGGCUUAAAGCGUGUGUAGGCGGACCGUUAAGUACCUUGUGAAAUCCCACGGCUCAACCGUGGAACGGCUGGGUAUACUGGCGGUCUUGGGCCACCUAGGGGCGAGCGGAACAAGCGGUGGAGCGGUGAAAUGCGUAGAUAUCGCUUGGAACGCCGACGGUGAAAACAGCUCGCUGGGGGUGUGCCGACGCUGAGACACGAAAGCCAGGGGAGCGAACGGG